UUUUUUUUUACUGUUAAUGAUACUUAGAGAGGAGAAAAGAACUGGAAGAACUUAGCAUGAAAGUUAUUCUAAAAAUGGUUUACCCUGGGCUAUUUCAAAGAUCUAAUAAUUUUGUAGCUGUUUGACCCUCUGUUGUUCUUUCUUCUCCUAUGGAUUCUAGACCCAAAGUCCUCCACAGGCCUUCCCGACUAGGAAAAGAAAAAGGACAGAAGAGAGGAGUGAAAAGGAACAGUGGGCCAUCAGGAGAGAAGUGAACAAGUAGUCAACUCUAAGGUUCAUGAAUAAUGAACUACUAUGCUACCCCCUGAAGAAGUAUAGGAUAAAGUAAAGAUAUUGGACAACCAUCAUCAUUCCAGGACUAUUAUCCUGAUAUUCAGAGAAGGUGUACAACAUAGUGACUCAACACUUCCACACAACAGCCGUUGCUCAUCACAAGUGUACUUCCUCACCCCCAUCACCAAAUACAGGAUCAGAAGGCUUACAAAUAUGGUGAUGGACGUGCUCAAAGUUAUAACGAAAGCAUCAACUUUAACUCAUGGACGUAAGGGAAUCAGCUGGCCCUACUUGAUGAGAAGAAAUGAUAGAGAAAAGCACACAAGUCAGUAAAUGGCUGAGGAAGGAAUGUGAGAGAUUGUGGUUAAAAUUAUGAUGGCAGUGAGUAUGCUCAAGAGUUCCUUUAAAGUGACAAGCCUUAGGGUGCCUGGGUGGCUCAGUUUGUUGAGCGUUUGACUCUUGAUUCUGCUCAGGUCAUGAUCCCGGUGUUGUGCGAUCAAGCUCCUAGUCGGACUCUAUGCUGAAUGUGGAGUCUGCUUAAGAUUCUCUCCCCACCCCAUCUCCCAUCUCCUCCCAUCUCUCCCCUUCCUCUACUUGCUCCUCUCCCCACCCCCCCACUCCUCUCCUCCUUGCACCUCUCCCCUGUGGUGUGCUCUCUCUCUCUGAAAAAUGAAAUAAAUCUUUUAAAAAAAUGACAAGCCUCAACAGUAACAAGUAUUGCUGAAGAUGGAAAGAAACUAAAUCCCUUAUUCAUAGCUAAUCUUAGUUCACCAUUUUAAUUUUAUUCAUUAUUAUUAUUUAUUUUUGUUGUUGCAAAACGUUUCGUUGUUUUCUCUUGGUCCACAGCUUGGGAGAGGGUUCCAGAAUGGUUAAGAAGCUGUCUUGUGGCUGAAGGCAGAGGCUCGAGCAGAAGCCCCAACACCAAGAGGAGGUGGUGGCGGCGGGGGGGGCGGGGGCGGCUCAUGGGGAAGGGUAGAUGUGCCUCAAAUGCUAUGCUUCUUCAGAGCCUCCUAGUCAUACUUGAAGGUGAGCCUUUCAAAGAGAUACUUAUCCAGCCCGGGUGCCACUGGCCUGAGGAGAUAGUAAGGUAGUUGCUUUCUUCCUAAAGAGUUCCACCUGCUCAUGUAGUUAGUAGUUCUCUGGGAAGUCCCAGAACUGCAUGGGCAGAUCCAGAAUGCCCAGAUCUCAAAGGUCCCUGGUCAGUUUCUCCAGAAUCAUAGUGACUCCCAUGGCAUUCAGGUUUUACCCCCACUCAUCUUGGAAUGGCUUCUGCAUGUUCUGGAAGAAGGCACAGCUCUGGCACUGGUUUUGCAUCUUUGAGAGAUACUUGGCUCUUUCUUGCUUUCUCUUAGCUAACUUUGGAAGAAGUGACUCUCCAGGGCCACAUCUCAUGGUCAAAAUAGAAGCGCAGAUAAAGGUAGGUGUAGGAGGCCCACAGAUCCAUUUUGAUGAUGCAGUUGACAGGAACCUUCACCUCAGUGGAAUAAUUCUGUUGAAUCUGGGAAGUCAUGGGUAAUAGGCAGUAAGGAGUUAAACUCAAAAUAUGGUGUUCACUGGUCCCAGAGACAGAGGAUGGCAGAGAAGACGGUUCUGAAAAGACGGUGGUUGGAGGCUGGAAGAAAGGACAAAUCCAGGUCUCUUCUACACAAACACUGUUGAAACAAGAGAUCUCCAGGACCUCCUGAAUGGUAGUUCAGCCAUUUUCGAAAAGACUCUGGCAGUUCUUCAAAAGUUUAAACAUAGAAUUACCAUAAGACCCAGUAAUUUCCCUCCUACCUACAUACCUGUUAUGAACUUAGCUGCAAUGAAUUCACUGCCACCACAGGCCUAGAAGAGAUAGGCCUGAGGAGCAAGGCCUUCUACUCCUCAGUUACAGAAAGUGGAGCCACCUUCUUGGUUUCAGUAGGCCAGGCUGUUCCUGACCAGGGUUUCCAGGGCAAGGCCUAGCCCAUGGCUGAGAGGGUAUGGCCACCACCCAGAGCCAAAGGGAUGGCUAUGCUUUCCAGAAAAGCCUCACUAGUGGGCCUGGAAGGAGUGGCCACCAUCCUGGUGGAACCCACAGGACAGAACAUCUAGUCAGAGAAGAUUUUGGAGCCAUAACUUCUAAUGGAAUUUUCCAUGGUAGGUUUUAGAUUUUCUCAUGACCUGUCACUUCUUUCUUUGUUACAAGGUCUCCCUUUUGGAAAAGAAUCUCUAGCCUCUGCCUGUCCUACCAUCUUAUUUUGGAAGAACUUAUCUGGUUUCAUAGGUUCACAGGUGGAGAGGAAUUUUUCCUCAAGGUCAUAACUUAAGUUUCAUUUAUGCUUGAUCUAGAUAAUAUUUAGAUGAGACUUUGUACUUGGUGUUGAUGCUGAAGUAGGUUAAGGCUUUUGGGGCUGAAAAGAUGAGGUGAAUGUAUUUUGCAUGUAACAUGGGUGUGAGUUUAAUGAGAGGAUGACAUAAUGUGGAAUGUUGUGGAUUGAAUUGUCCCCCUUUCUAAUACAUAGAUUGAAGCCCUAACCCCCAUUGUGACUAAAAUUGGAGAAUAGGACUUUAUUAAUAAGGUAAUUGAGAUUAGAUGAGGUAAUAAAAAUAAGAUCCUAAUCUAGUUCAACUGGGAUCCUUAUAAGAAGAGUAAGAGAGGGGUCCCUUGGCUGCUUAGCUGUUUAGGCGUCUAACUCCUGGUUUCAGCUGACGUCAUGAUCUCACUAUUUGUGAGAUUGAGCCUAGAGUCGGGCUCCAUCCUGACAGCACAAGAUUUUCUUGCAAUUCUCUCUCUCCCUCUCUCUCUGUGCCUUUCCCCUACUCAUGUUCUCUUUCUCUCUCUCUCUCUG